rnacentral:rRNA from 1 species
UACGAAGGGGGCUAGCGUUGUUCGGAAUCACUGGGCGUAAAGGGCGCGUAGGCGGCUUUGUAAGUCGGGGGUGAAAGCCUGUGGCUCAACCACAGAAUUGCCUUCGAUACUGCAUGGCUUGAGACCGGAAGAGGUAAGUGGAACUGCGAGUGUAGAGGUGAAAUUCGUAGAUAUUCGCAAGAACACCAGUGGCGAAGGCGGCUUACUGGUCCGG